CCAACCAUGGACAGGGCUUUACCAGCCAUCCCUUGUACCCCCAAUUGCAGCUACCCAACCAUAAACCAACAUGCAGCACCACGCGAGCAAAUUCAGGGACGCGAGACUACAAGAACAGCCCACUUGCCUGGAUCCUUCGUCAAUGGAAGGAAAAGGAGGCGUCGGGCGGCUAGGCUUCACAGCCAGCGUCGAAGCUUUGAUCAUAACUGAGCAGCAACGAUUCUGCUAUUAGAUGAAGGCGCUGGUCAUGAGGGGCUGCGAUGGGUUGGGCUCUGUGGAGACGAACAAAAGUAAGAGGAGAGGAAAGCGGUGUGUCUUGGUAGAGAAAACGCAGAAGAGGGUGGGUUCUUCGCAAAAGAGAGAGAGAGAGAGAGAAAAGAAAACGGAAUACGUGUAGCCUCCC
rnacentral:lncRNA from 1 species